GACUUCAGUUGAGUGAGCAGCAGGAGCAGAAGGGCUGAUCUAAACAGAGAUCCUGUCUGCAUGCAAAUGGAACUGCUUGAGGCUGGUCUUCAAAUGGAAAGAGAGCAAGAAUACUGUUAUAUUGGAACCUGCGAAAGCCAUAUUCUUUAUUGUGAGAGGGCAGGGGCUCUACAACCACAGGACUGGGAACUGCCUCCCUGCCUUGCAGCCUCUCACGGCACUGUCCGUCUAACUGGGAAGAAUGGAAUGGGACUCCUCCGCAGAGCCCUUUGGCUUCAUUAAUCAACCUUUACUAUAAUAGAAAGAUCGCUGUUGAGACAUGCAAAGCACUCCUGGGUCCUAGGGUGAGUUCUGACCAAGCAACAAAGCUCUGAAGGAUAAUAAAUUCAAUCCGAUAUGGGCAAAUAAAUCUUUUUUCCAGCUGUCCAAGAAAGACAGACAAUCCCUGUGGGAGAUUCCAUACUCAGAAGAAUCAAAAGAACAAUCUGCAAGGGACAGGUGAACAAGAAGUUGGUGUGCUACCAACCAGGAGCCAAGACACAGAUGUCAUCUAAGAUUGGACAGUAGAUGGCUUCAGAGAACUCGGAAGUGUGCUGAAGAAGAAGUGAGUCCAAGCGAUAUUCUCUGAGAUCCUUCCUGUCCCACAAGCAAAGGAAGACAGAAGGCAGAAGAUUCCAGAAGUGAAUCACUGGUGAAAAGAAAAAUAUUCCUUUCUGGAAAAAAAAGAAUAUUAAUGGUGUGUCGGAGGAACAAAUGCAAUGGAGAUUGUCAAGGAGUAACAGAUGAAACCAAAGGAAAAACAGAAACAGAAUGACAGGCUGGAAACAAAGGCGAGCAAUAUUUCUGGUAAAUAGCACGUAGCAAGAAGUGGAUGACGAUGUGGUCAUAAGCAGAAGAGGAAACAUCCAGGCAGUCACACUUGUUGGCAGUCUUCACAAUAGUAAGUCAUGAGCUACUAUGGACCCAUUCAGAAGACCAGGCAAUGCUGAGUGGGAAUGUAUUAGCUGGCCAACUGCUUUCUUCCUAGACAGAUCCCAAAGAGCCCUGCUGAACAGCUGUUCCAUUUCCAUGAAUCCUCCCACCUGUGGGGUCCCAUAGGGCCUAAUCUUGUUCUCCCCAUUUACUCAACAUACUCAGUAAUAUCAGUGUUUUCCGCCUAGCAUCACAAACCAAGAAGCGAGUGUACACUACUCCAGUGCUUAAUGCUCUGCAAGGCAUUCCCAUAUUC